rnacentral:rRNA from 1 species
CCUACGGGUGGCAGCAGUGGGGAAUAUUGGACAAUGGGCGAAAGCCUGAUCCAGCCAUGCCGCGUGUGUGAAGAAGGCCUUCGGGUUGUAAAGCACUUUCAGUGGGGAAGAAAGCCUUGGGGCUAAUACCCUCGAGGAAGGACAUCACCCACAGAAGAAGCACCGGCUAACUCCGUGCCAGCAGCCGCGGUAAUACGGAGGGUGCGAGCGUUAAUCGGAAUUACUGGGCGUAAAGCGCGCGUAGGCGGUCUGAUAAGCCGGUUGUGAAAGCCCCGGGCUCAACCUGGGAACGGCAUCCGGAACUGUCCGGGUAGAGUGCAGGAGAGGAAGGUAGAAUUCCCGGGGUAGCGGUGAAAGGCGUAGGAAUCGGGAGGAAUACCAGUGGGGAAGGCGGCCUUCUGGACUGACACUGACGCUGAGGUGCUAAAGCGUGGGUAGCAAACGGAAUUAGAUACCCUAGUAGC